GUGUCGGCCCGUGUCCCCAGGGUUCGGUGGCCGGCUGGGCUCCAGCGGGGAGGAGCGCUCAGCCCAGCGCGACCUCCUCUGUCCCGGGGAGCGACCCUGCAGUGGCAGCACUGGCGAGAAACAGAGCUGCUCACAGCAGGGAUCGGCCUCGGCUCAUCCCCGUGGGAAGGCUGGAACAAAGCUCUGACAAGAUGCGUGGUGCGAAAAGUAAAUCAUUAGCAUUUACUGGACUGCUUCUCAACUGCCUAGAACUGAUCUUUUCAGCUAACACAGGUUUCUCUGUGUCUAUAUAUGAUGUGACAUCGCAAAGCAUUUCUCUCAGAUGGCCCAAGUUUUCAGGAGCCUCUUCUUACAGGGUCACAGCUACAGCUGUGAAUACUGUAGGCCAUUCAUUACUGGCUCAUUUCAGUGAUGUGACAAUUAAAGCAACUCUAACUUCAUUAAUUCCCAAUACUGUUUAUGCUAUACAAGCAGAAGCCAUUGACAAGAAUGGAAUUAUUCUUGCAGAAACACAGAUUAUGCAGUCAACAGCUCCAGACAUACCUGUUAUUGACCAAGCUUAUUCAAAACUUAGCAACAGUAUCACAGUGGAAUGGAGAGCGGUACCUGGGGCUACUAGUUAUAUGCUGACUGCACAAGAUGGAGAUUCCUUCAUUGAAACUGUAGUUAAAAAUUCUCCAGGCACAGUGAUGGGGCUGAAACCUGCCACCUUGUACAGAAUCACUAUCAGAUCUAUAAAUUCAGGAGGAAAAAGCCAGCCUUCACCUUUCAGAAAAGCAAAAACAGUCCUGGCUGCUCCAAUUCUGUCUGUCAGUUCUCCGAGCUGUGACUCCAUUGCACUGAGCUGGAAAGCUGUGUAUAUGGCAGCUGGAUUCUCUGUGUCACUCAUGAGGUCAGAUGGUUUGGGCGGAAUGCUGAGGGAGAACACCACCAAUACCUCCUUGAUAUUUACAAAUCUAGAUCCAGGAACUCUCUAUACUAUCAAGGCUUAUGCCUGGAAUGCCAAUGGGAUGCCUGGAGAUGAUUUCACAUAUAACCAAAGAACAAGUCCUAAUGCACCGGCGGAUGUUAAAGUAGCUUUUAAUAGUGGUGCUUUAAGAGUUUCUUGGAUGCCAACAGAAGGAGCUCUAACUUACAGUGUCACAGCCUCCAGUGGACUCUUGAAACUGAAGUGUAACACAUCCUCCUCCUCCUGCAUGGUGCCAUCCCUCCAGUGCAGCUCUGAAUAUGAUGUUUCUGUCACAGCAUACAAUGAUGCUGGAUCCAGUAAACCUACUGAUGCAGUAAGCUUAAAAACUAUUCCUUGUGCACCAGUAAACAUAUCAAUUAAAGAGGAUAAACCUGGUCACUUGCUGGUGUCAUGGUCUAGCGUCAGUUUUGGUCAUUAUUAUGUGGUUUUUGUGAAGAGUGAUGAUGGCUUGGAAGUGCACUGCAACACAUCAUAUACUCAAUGUUAUUUCCAGUCAGACUGUGGCUUCACUUAUUUCAUUAGUGUCUUUGCAUAUAACAAGGCAGGGCAGAGUCCUUUAGGUGAUGUAUUCAAUUACACUACUGCUCCUUGUUGCCCCAGCGACUUCAGGGCUGUGUUUGUGUCCAGCGACACCGUGCGGGUCACCUGGGCUCCUGUCCGAGGCGCCGACCUGUACGAGACCAGAGCUGCCGCCUGGAGCACGGUGGUGCUCUGCAAUGACACGGCCCCGGCCUGCACCCUGUCAGCUCUGCAGUGCAACACCCGCUACCACAUCACCGUUCAUUCCUUCAGCGAGGCCAGGGGCAGCAACACCUCAUGUGCGCCCAAGCACGUGGCAACAGCUCCCUGCAGUCCUGAAAUUAAAAAUGUCUCAAAGGAGGGUCUUUCUGUAAUCAGUGUACAGUGGCAAUCUAACAAUGAAGACGCUACAUAUGUUGUCACUGCCAGAGGAGAGGCUGGACUUUGGCAUUGCACAAGCACUGGAAGCUCCUGUACCUUAACUGAUCUUCCCUGUGGAUCUGCUUUCUCUGUCAGUGCUAUAGCAAGAUCACCAGCAGGACAGAGCUUACCAAGCUACAGUGUCCCUUUAGAGACAGCUCCUUGUUGCCCUAACGACCUGAUACUAACUCAAGUGACACAGUCUGUAACGAAUAUCAGCUGGUCUGCUGGGAAGGGUGCACAGACAUAUGUAACAACACUGGAGUCUCCAAAAGGACAGGCAAAGUGUCGCACUCUUCAGAACUACUGUCUCCUGGGAUGUAUCACAUGUGGCACCAACUACACAAUGUCUCUGAAAGCAAUUAGUGAAACGGGUCUGACAUCCAGUUGCACAUAUCAGGGAUAUUCUUCCAGUGCUUGCUGCCCCUCUGGGGUGAAGCUAUACAGACUGAGCAACAAUGGCAUCAGGGUGUUCUGGCGAGCCUCUGAUGAAACAAUAAACUACAGCACUGAUUUACAUGGUUCAAAAGGCAACUUCACCUGUACCCCCAGCACAGGUCGAAGUCACUGCGACAUCACCGAGAUACCCUGUGGGGAUGUCUACACAGUAGUGGUAGCUCCACUUACUGAUAAGGGUCUGAAGCUCACAUUCUGUCCUAAAAAAAUAUACUCAGUAACCUGUUCUGGAAGCUCUCUUGGAAUGGGUAAGAGCACAUAGUACAUUCAUUACAAAUUAAUGAAGUUUGUAAAAUAUGUUCACAUCGUUUAACUUCAAAUAAGAUGCAUAUAACAUAAAUUUGAUCAUCAAGGCUUCUGUUAGUAUUAUGCAGUGAUUUAUAGAGGCAAGAGCAAUGCAGAACACAUCUAAAUGAAAAUUCUGGGUCAGAUAAGGAGUUCUCUGUCAAAACUAGAUGAUCCAUGGCCUUCCCGAUGGUGACUUCUGCUUCUGGAUCUUCUGGGAGACCUCCGGGGACUGAUCGAUCUUGGUCUUGGAGACCUUUUAAAAAAGAAGAUAUUCAGUGUGAAACACAUUUUUCAAGUUAAGAGACCAUCUUUCCUUUUCAAUUUAUACUUUACGUACACAGUCUGUUUUUCAUCUUAAAUACCAAAUAUCAUGUGAUGAUUUUAAUCCAUUAGCAUCCAUAAACUGUUUUGCCUGUUGCCUUAAAACCCAACCCAGUGAAAAGACAAGAUGUUGCUGGUAAUAAGUUGUUCAAUAUUAAACUUUUAACAUU